GGCUCCGCCCCGCCCCUUUCCUCCGCCUCCCGUCGUUCCCUAGCUCUGGUCUCAGCGCGGCCCGUUGUUAUGACGACACGGUCGUAAAUCCGCCAUCUUCCUGCGGCGCGUUGCGACAUGGAGGGCGCGAUGGCAGUGCGGGUGACGGCCGCUCAUACGGCAGAAGCCCCGGCCGAAGCCGGGAGGGAAGUGGGCGAGGGCGGGGUCGCGGAGGCAGCGGCGGUAGCGGCCUUGGCCCCUGGCGGCUUUCUCGGCCUCCCGGCGCCCUUCAGCGAAGAAGAUGAGGAUGAUGUGCACAGAUGUGGUCGCUGCCAGGCGGAGUUCACAACCUUGGAAGACUUUGUGCAGCACAAGAUUCAGAAGGCCUGCCAGCGAGCCCCUCCAGAGGCCCUGCCUACCACCCCUCCCACCACCUCGCUGCUGGGCCAGGAGGUGGUGCCGGUGGCGACUGGCCCAGAGGAGCCCAUUACCGUGGCCCACAUCGUGGUGGAGGCAGCCUCUCUGGCAGCAGACAUUGGCCAUGCACCAGAUCUCAUUGGUAAGCCAGGAAUGGCCUUGAUUGGCGGCGGGCAUAUCAAAGAGGUCAUUGUGGCUGCUGAAACAGAGCCAGGAGACAGUGAGAUGGCAGAGCCCCCAGGCAGUCCCCACCGACAGGGGCUGGGGCUUACUGGGGAGGGCGAGCAGGCGCAGGUCAAGCUAAUGGUGAACAAGGACGGCCGCUACGUGUGCAUGCUGUGCCACAAGACCUUCAAGACGGGCAGCAUCCUCAAGGCCCACAUGGUCACCCACAGUAGCCGCAAGGACCAUGAGUGUAAGCUCUGUGGGGCUUCCUUCCGCACCAAAGGCUCACUCAUCCGGCACCACCGUCGGCACACAGACGAGCGCCCCUAUAAGUGCGCCAAGUGUGGAAAGAGCUUCCGGGAGUCAGGUGCGCUGACCCGGCACCUCAAGUCUCUUACCCCAUGCACAGAAAAAAUUCGCUUCAGCAUGAGCAAGGAUGUGGUUGAAGGCCAAGAGGAUGUACCUGCAGGAUCUGGAGCCUCUACUGUGGGGACAGUUACAUCAUCAUCGGCGACAGGGGAGCCUAUGGAGACUUCGCCUGUGAUUCAUCUGGUGACAGAUGCUAAGGGAACUGUCAUCCAUGAAGUCCAUGUCCAGAUGCAGGAAUUGCCCCUGGGCAUAAAAGCCCUGGCCCCAGAGCCCCCAGUCCCUGAGGAGCUUCCAUGCCCGGGUGAGGGCAGCCGUGAGAACCUGCUGCGCCAGGCCAUGCAGAACUCCGGCAUCGUUCUGGAGCGGGUUGCUGGGGAGGAGGGUGCCCUGGAACCAGCCCUGCCUGCUGGAUCUAGUCCCCAGCCCUUGGGAGAUGGAGCUCCAGAACUGCCGCUGCUGGAGGUGCAGCCGAUGGAGACACAGGUGGCCAGUGAGGCCUCAGCUGUGCCCAAGACCCACCCAUGCCCUCAGUGCAGCGAGACCUUCCCGACGGCAGCCACCCUGGAGGCCCACAAGAAGGGCCAUGCAGGGCCGAGGCCGUUUACCUGUACACAGUGUGGCAAGGCUUUUCCCAAGGCUUAUCUGCUCAAGAAGCACCAGGAGGUGCAUGUGCAUGAGCGCCGCUUUCGCUGUGGGGACUGUGGAAAACUUUACAAGACCAUCGCCCAUGUGCGUGGCCACCGGCGUGUCCACUCAGACGAGCGGCCCUACCCUUGUCCUGAGUGUGGCAAACGCUACAAGACAAAGAAUGCCCAACAGGUACACUUCCGGACACACUUGGAGGAGAAGCCACAUGUGUGUCAGUUCUGUAGCCGCGGCUUCCGGGAGAAGGGCUCGCUAGUACGGCAUGUGCGCCACCACACAGGCGAGAAGCCCUUUAAGUGUUACAAGUGUGGCCGUGGCUUCGCGGAGCAUGGCACACUCAACCGGCACCUGCGCACUAAAGGGGGCUGUCUGCUGGAGGUGGAGGAGUUGCUGGUGUCUGAGGAGAGCCCUGCAGCAGCCACCACUGUCCUUGCAGAGGACCCACAUACUGUGUUAGUGGAGUUCUCAUCUGUGGUGGCUGACACCCAGGAGUACAUUAUUGAGGCCACUGCAGACGAUGCUGAGACCAGUGAAGCCACAGAGAUCAUUGAGGGCACGCAGACAGAGGUGGACAGCCAUAUCAUGAAGGUGGUACAGCAGAUCGUGCACCAGGCCAGUGCUGGGCAUCAGAUCAUCGUGCAGAAUGUGACCAUGGACCAGGAGGCAGGGCUGGGCCCAGAAGCAUCUGCUGCUGACACUAUCACCAUCGCCACUCCUGAAAGCCUGACAGAGCAAGUGGCCAUGACGUUGGCGUCAGCCAUCAGUGAAGGCACUGUGCUCACAGCCCGAGCGGGUGCAAAUGGCACUGAACAGGCCACAGUGACCAUGGUGUCAUCAGAGGAUAUUGAGAUUCUUGAGCAUGCCGGUGAGCUGGUCAUUGCCUCACCAGAGGGUCAGCUGGAGGUGCGGACUGUUGUUGUCUAGCAUGGAGUCCUGUGGGUCCCUGCUGGGCUGGAGUGGGGUCAAAGACUCAGUACCCUGCCUGUGCCUGCAUGGCCUGGUAGAGAAGGUGGCACAGAACUCAGAUGUUCAGAGAAGGGAAGUGUAAAUACAGAGUUUUUCGUUGCUUUACAAUAAAAUAUGCAAACCUGCAGCUUGUGAUAUUGCGGCAGUGACAGCUCCAAGGCUGGCUCGUCACCUUGCAAGUUCCCUGGAAAUAGCAUUUGCCUGCCCAGGCCACCCCUAGACUCAAGUGCGUGUCCAUCCUGCCCAGGGGCUCUUGCCAGCCCUGGUGGCGCCUUGGUGGUGUGUGGGUGUCACUGGCAUGUUAACAGGCAGCUACUGCCCUGCCCUGCCCUGCCCAGCUGGACCUGUGACCUGGCUUCCUCAGGCCUGUGGUAUGGUGGGCAGAGGGAACCAGGUCA